UGUCAGAUAGCUUAUCAGACUGGUGUUGGCUGUUACAUCACAAGGCGACAACAGUCUGUAGGCUGUCUGACA
rfam:Lepisosteus oculatus linkage group LG22, whole genome shotgun sequence.